rnacentral:tRNA from 1 species
AAAGUUUUAAGUUAUUUAAACUAGUAACCUUCAAAGUUGCCUAAAGAAGUAUAAAUCUUCUAAACUUUA